rnacentral:rRNA from 1 species
AGCUCCAGUAGCGUAUAUUAAAGUUGUUGCAGUUAAAAAGCUCGUAGUUGGAAUUUUGGUUUGAGACGCCUGGCCCGCCAGCGAAAGCUGUGUGAGUGCCGGUGUGUCUCUGCCAUCCUUCUGGUCAGCGUUUCUACCUUUUAUUAGGCCGGAUUCGUGAACCAGAUCUUUUACUUUGAAAAAAUUAGAGUGUUUAAAGCAAGCUUGCGCUAUGAAUACAUUAGCAUGGAAUAAUAAUUUAGGACUUUGGUUCUAUUUUGUUGGUUUCUAGAACUGAAGUAAUGAUUGAUAGGGAUAGUUGGGGGUGCUAGUAUUCAACGGCCAGAGGUGAAAUUCUUGGAUUCGUUGAAGACUAACUUAUGCGAAAGCAUUCACCAAGGAUGUCUUCU